rnacentral:rRNA from 1 species
GGCGGCGUGCUUACCAUGCGAGUCGAGCGGUAAGGCUCUUUCGGGAGUACACGAGCGGCGAACGGGUGAGUAACACGUGAGCAAUCUGCCCUCCACAUCGGGAUAACCCCCGGAAACGGGUGCUAAUACCGGAUACGACCACUUCAGGCAUCUGAUGGUGGUGGAAAGUUCUGGCGGUGGAGGAUGAGCUCGCGGCCUAUCAGCUUGUUGGUGAGGUAAUGGCUCACCAAGGCUUCGACGGGUAGCCGGCCUGAGAGGGUGACCGGCCACACUGGGACUGAGACACGGCCCAGACUCCUACGGGAGGCAGCAGUGGGGAAUAUUGGACAAUGGGCGAAAGCCUGAUCCAGCAACGCCGCGUGAGGGAUGAAUGCCUUCGGGUUGUAAACCUCUUUCAGCGCAGACGAAGCGAAAGUGACGGUAUGCGCAGAAGAAGCACCGGCCAACUACGUGCCAGCAGCCGCGGUAAU